GUGCUCACUUUGGCAACACAUACACUAAAAUUGCAGUGAUACAGAGAAAACUAACAUGACUCCUGAACUAGUAUAACAUGCAAAUUUAUGAAGUGUUCCUUAUUUUU